rnacentral:lncRNA from 1 species
ACCCAACAUCAGGAGAAGCUUCUUGGGUUUCUGCAAUCCCUCCAACUCUUCCUUAACAACGUAACAACAAUGCUAAGCUUUUUAACUCUCUGUACAAUGAGCAUGGAGUAGUAAGACAUCUUCUCGUCCAAAGACCAAGCCGGGCUAGGAGAAGAGAAAUUAUUGCAUGCCCCAGGUGCAAGUGAACCAGGACAAAUCCUACAAUGAGCAUGGAGUAGUAAGACAUCUUCUCGUCCAAAGAUCAAGCCGGCUAGGAGAGGAGAAAUUAUUGCAUGCCCCAGGUGCAAGUGAACCAGGACAAAUCCGAAAGCAUAUGCAUGAUGGAUUGCACGCAAUCGGGAAUUGAUGAAAUAUAAGAAAUAGCGUGGCAUGAUAUCUACCGUGGGAUUUGACGCCCACGGUCCAAUUGUACCUGGUGCAGGCAAUACGGAGGCCUAGGCGAGAGAAUGGUUCACUCCCUCAACAUUAUCUUCUCUUCUAUCGCCCCAGCAAUUCUCAAAGCUCCUCCUGAAUGCAUCUUUUAUUUGCAGUCGAGAAAGCUCCACUGGGGACGCAAACAGAGCCGGGAACGGCAAAUGGUGAUCUGGCGCAAGAUUACCAUUUGUCCUCCAUGGUACUCUUUGGUGCACAUACCUUUUCUUUAUUGUUUAUCUGUUUUACUUGUGUGUGCGUGUGUUUGGUGUUUGAGAGACGGGGCGCAUCCUAGUCAUUCUCCGCUUCCUUGCCCAUUUAAAAUCACAUACAACCAAUUCCGCUUAGAGUUGGAUUUGAGCACUAAAGCAGUGAUACCUGCCAUGACUCUAUAGCAUACCCCAGCACACCACACAUCAAGGCCGGCCCUCUUGAGUCUUUUCCUCAGACAUACCAAUAAGCAUGCAACAGUCCAGCCACACAGUCAAGCUUGCACCUCUAUGCUCCUACCUGACAACACUGUUAUACUGAAUACAGAUGACCCCCUCAAGUACUCAUAAGCAAUCCGACUUCUCGAAUCAACUGCAAUGCUCAUGCGCACAUCCGUACCAUAACCUAGACUCUUUCCAAGAGUGCUCCACAGCUCAACACCUCUGUGUCAACUCUAAAACUUUGUCCCUCAAGCCAAGCAUUGCUCAACUCAGAUAUCUUGAUCCUCGACAUACUCUCGUGCCAUGACAUAACCACUGUAUCACUGAUCCGCAACCCACCAAGCUACCCUUCAGUACUACACAUACCAAAUCCACAUAACACGACCAUGCAACGCCACUACUAUGCAUGAGGCUCGGGCAAACCCAUCUUUAAUGCAGCCCAGCUAAACUACCAAGCUGACAUGACCUGCAGCUCCUCCAAGCUACAGAUGAUCGUACACAUCCGAAUCCUCUAGGAUUCGACUAUCCAAGCUUCUCCCACAAGCUCUUAUGCCACGAUCCCGGUCUUGCAUCCUUGAUAUGCCUUUCCAUCCCUGACUAUAUCGGUUGACAAUAUUCAUAACCUACUCACCUAUCACUGUGCAUUACUACGAUCCUGGAGAUACAUAACCCACCACCCAACAUCUUAGGUCCACAGUCUACUCACACAUUGAGCACUGCCACGAUAUUGGCAUCCAAGUCUGCCCCAUCAAGUAAAUAUCUUCGAUCGGAUGAUAAAUGCAUCAAGCCGUCCUCUCCUUGGCAUGACC